rnacentral:ncRNA from 1 species
AAUGGCUAGGACAAAAGGUUGCGAUCCCGCGAGGGUGAGCUAACUCUAAAAACCUGUCCUCAGAUUGGAUUGCAGGCUGCAAUUCGCCUGCAUGAAG